GUGGAUAUGGACUUAACUGGUUAAAGUGCUAGACUGUGACUCUAGAUAUACGGGUUCAAGCCCCGUUAUUCGCC
rnacentral:tRNA from 1 species